UACGGAGGGUGCGAGCGUUGUCCGGAAUCACUGGGCGUAAAGGGCGCGUAGGCGGCGCGGAAAGUCGUCGGUGAAAGCUCGGGGCUCAACCCUGAGUCUGCCGGUGAUACUCCCGCGCUCGAGCUCACUAGAGGCAGAUGGAAUUCCGGGUGUAGCGGUGGAAUGCGUAGAUAUCGAGAGGAACACCAGUGGCGAAGGCGAGUCCCUGGACAACACCUGACACUGAGGCACGAAAGCUAGGGGAGCAAACAGG
rnacentral:rRNA from 1 species